rnacentral:rRNA from 1 species
GACGAACGCUGGCGGCGCGCCUAACACAUGCCAGUCGAACGGAGCUGCGAGAAGCUUGCUUUUCUUAGCUUAGUGGCGAACGGGUGAGUAACGCGUGAGUAACCUGCCCUGGAGUGGGGGACAACAGUUGGAAACGACUGCUAAUACCGCAUAAGCCCACGAUCCGGCAUCGGAUUGAGGGAAAAGGAUUUAUUCGCUUCAGGAUGGACUCGCGUCCAAUUAGCUAGUUGGUGAGGUAACGGCCCACCAAGGCGACGAUUGGUAGCCGGGCUGAGAGGUUGAACGGCCACAUUGGGACUGAGACACGGCCCAGACUCCUACGGGAGGCAGCAGUGGGGGAUAUUGCACAAUGGGGGAAACACUGAUGCAGCGACGCCGCGUGGAGGAAGAAGGUUUUCGGAUUGUAAACUCCUGUCGUUAGGGACGAUAAUGACGGUACCUAACAAGAAAGCACCGGCUAACUACGUG